AAAAAAUUUUGGUACCCUUACUGCAUGAUACAAUAUGACACGGGUGCCAAAUAAUUUGUUAGUGGGUGUACAACUUACCUAAAAUUAAUGAAACUUAGUACAGUAUACUGUUAGCAGCUGGAAAGUUCAAUGUCUUUCAAAUGCAGCAGUACAAUAUAUAUAAAGCAUAGUGUUUGUAAGUGGCUAAAAUUUGGCAUAGAAUUGGGUUUUGCUUUUGUAAAUAAUACCGAGAAUCCUUACAAAUGUCUAAAUUGUGAGGGUGGAGAUCAGCCUAACAGUGCAUGACCACAGUUUUUAACAGAGCUGAAAAUUGGUAUGGUUAUUCUUUGCUUGUGCACUUAAUUUUACCCAAGGGCAGACAUAUGGUACAUAGACUCUGAGCUGCUCUUCUAAUUCUAGGCACCCUCUUUAAUAGUGGUGUUUGUGUGUGUGUUUUAUUAUGUUGGUGUUAACUCCUCCGUAACAUAGAGAUGAAGUGUGGUGUGGUUAUGUAAACAGCUCUGAGAAGACAAGGCCAGAUACCUGAGCUAGUUUUCUAUUAUGUUAAACAGAAAAAUCAACAAAAUUAAACAAAGGCCAAUCCAAAUUAUGUUUCAAUAAAAAAUAAGACUGGGUGUAUAAGUGAUACAGGAGUAAACUUAGCAUUAAACUGACAACCAUAAACUCACACAAAAACUUGACUAAAAAUCCAAGCUUUCGUAACAACACACCAUGAUGUCAACCUUCACAGAUCUGAGAAACAAAACCAGACAUUACUGUUAUCUGCAAUGAAGUAUCGAGCAAGGUUAAAGUGAUGUCUAGCAUAAAACUCACCGCACCUGCCCACUACCCACACUUUCUCUCCUAGUGCUCGAGUUGACAAUCAUCACAACCACAGUCGCCUCUCUUGGUCCCCCAGCUAGUUAUCAAUAUGGCCAAGUCUAAUAUCUUUCCUGUCAUAGUCCUCCUGUUAAUUAUGGUCGUGAACACCGUUGAUGUGGACGCCUUGUGUAAAGACAGCUAUAACUGCAGUACAGCUGGGAAUUUCCCCCAGUGUGAUGACUACUGCAUGAGUCAUUUCUUUCAUUGCUCUUAUGACCAUAUUGGGAAGUUUGCAGAGCUGUGGCCAUGCCAGUUUGGAUUGGUGUUUGACACAAAUCCUAACAACCCUUACUGCACUCUACCCUCAAACUGCUCAAUCCCCACAACCCCGGCCCCUGACUGUUUGCCUUCCUGCACCUGCACACAAGUGGGUGCAUUCGCCAAGUGCCCCUAUGCAUGCAACCCGAAUUACUACUACUGUGCAAUAACCUCCGGACCAGGACAAGAAAUGACUUGUCCUACUAGUUACACCUUUGACUAUAGCACUCUUAACUGUGUCUUGACGGCAAAUUGUGUCUGAGACCCCUGAGCCUGUUAGUUGCAAGUCCCUCUUUUUCCCCACCCACUCACACCAACCAUUACUGAAUUUACUGACCAUCCACGAGGCCCAAACCAAUUUUGAGUUCUACAAUAAUCUCCUUAACCACUUGAGAGUUCUGCAAUAACAUCCUCAACCAUUCAUGAGCUCUGUAAUCUCCAAUUAUUAUCAAUAGUCUACAACAAUAUCCCCAACCAUCCAGAAACUCUUACAGUAUCAUACCCAACCAUCCAGGAACAACACGAUAACAUCCUCAAUCACCCAGGAGCUCUGUGACCUAGAGUUUUACAGUUACCAUCCUUGAGUUCUGCCAUUACCUCCUCCCCAUGACUCCCAACCUUCUGUGACAAUAUACCAUUACCAUUCCUGACAUCCCUAACAGUAUCCCUGAUGUUCCUUUGGCCUUCUACAAGCAAAUCCAGACCACAACUAUUCCUUCCAAACUCCCUCACAAAAAAAAAUCCCAUCUUAAAUCACUCUUACAAAUAUAUAUACUGUACUGUACUGUAUAUUUACAGCACUUUUUGAUGGGUAGAGGUCACUAGACUUUCCACCAGGAAUACUAUGUCUAACUGACCAAGAUAUUAAUUUUUAGACCUAAAAUUCACUCAGAAAUUAUUCAAUGAGCUUGGAAUAUACAGUACUGUAUAUAUUUGUAAAUUUUAUUCUAUACAGUAGUCUUUUCCUGUGUAUGUAAUGUCUGUUUGUUAUCAAGGAGAAGACAUGGAUUCCUUUUUAAAGUCUGAAAAUGUCUGCCAUUACAUCUCAUGAUUUGUAUCUGGAUAUCCCUUUAAAAUAAACCAUAUUGAUAUAUCCUUGCCUCUCUUCUCUGGGUAGAAAAGUAACAUUUGAACCUUUGAGAAUGUAUCUUUGUAUCAUUGCUUGAGUGAGCCAGAUAGAUGCAUCCUUACAUCUCCAGCUCUUACAGGGAAAAUGUAAAAGGCUAGGCCCUAGUUCCAACAUGGUAUUGUACUGUACUGCAUCAUCAUCAUCAUACCAAGUACUAAUAGACUGCCCACAAGAGGAACAAGCAGAGAAACUAUAACCACCAACCAAGGAUUUAGAGAAGCUUCAACAGACAUCAAGACAAACAUAGUUACCUAAACAGACUUUCACUCCCCUAACUCAACAUCUAUGGGACCUGAUCCAAUUUCAUAUCUAUAUGGUGAAAAAUAUAGAAAAUCCAAGUGA